UAAAACCUUAAAGUUUGUAUGUAAAUACAAUGUUAUCAAUAUAGUUUACUACAUGUAGAGCAGACAGGUAGAUAUCUCAUGACAUAACUUAUCUUACUAGCCGAAUGAGACAAAUUUCAUAUUUCGAGUGAAAAUGGUUCGAAAGCGAAAUCGAAAACAACUUCAAUGGCAAAAGCCUUCACACAAUAAGUCAUCCACUCAAGACAGAAACAAUGUCCGAAAUGACCAACAGGUGCAUAUAGGGAGCAAACAACAAGAUUACUGAGACAGGAUCUUUACAGGGAAAGUAUAUGUGAAGGAAAGGAUCACAACAAAAGUUUGUUUCUAAUGGCAAGAGUGAAGGUGUCUGCCGUCUUUCCCGGGUGCAAUAUCAUUACAUGCUUCUCUGAUAUUACAAUUGAAAUAUUGCAUUUGAUACCACAUUAUCCACACUUAUUACCAGAACUGGUGUUACUGAGAACAGUAAAAGAUGGUUCGGUAUUGCUUGGCCGAAUACAAAGGGUUUCUGAUUCGAAUAAGAAGGUUUAUGUUCGGGACAUUAACGACAAAGAACUCUGCUUGAAGCUACUCUGUUUGUCUGGAAUAACAAGACCGGGACGCUUCGUCGCACUAAAAAACCCAACACUUACAAUAUUCCAGGAUGGCGAGUUUGGAUUUCGUACAAAUGAAACAGGAAGUGUUCAUUAUAUUGACGUGGAUGAUGACUACUUCAUUAAUGCAUUUAUAAUUUUUAUUUGUGUUUUGAUUGUUUGUUUUUUUAUUUUUUGGAAAUUUUU